rnacentral:rRNA from 1 species
UAUGUAGGGCGCAAGCGUUGUCCGGAAUUAUUGGGCGUAAAGAGCUCGUAGGCGGCUUGUCACGUCGGGUGUGAAAGCCCGGGGCUUAACCCCGGGUCUGCAUUCGAUACGGGCUGGCUAGAGUGUGGUAGGGGAGAUCGGAAUUCCUGGUGUAGCGGUGAAAUGCGCAGAUAUCUGGAGGAACACCGGUGGCGAAGGCGGCAUCCUGGACCAACACUGACACUGAGGAGCGAAAGCCAGGGGAGCAAACGGG